CGCCUGUUUACCAAAAACAUCACCUCUAGCAUAACAAGUAUUAGAGGCAUUGCCUGCCCAGUGACUAAAGUUAAACGGCCGCGGUAUCCUGACCGUGCAAAGGUAGCAUAAUCACUUGUUCCUUAAUUAGGGACUAGAAUGAAUGGCUAAACGAGGGUUCAACUGUCUCUUACUUUCAAUCAGUGAAAUUGACCUUCCAGUGAAGAGGCUGGAAUACUACAAUAAGACGAGAAGACCCUAUGGAGCUUUAAUUUACUAGUUUAAUUUAUAUAAUAACAACCUAAUGGACCAAGACAAAAUAAAUAUAAACUAAAAAAUUUCGGUUGGGGUGACCUCGGAGAAUAGAAAAUCCUCCGAAUGAUUUUAACCUAGACCUACAAGUCAAAGUAAUAUUAAUAUCUUAUUGACCCAAUUAUUGAUCAACGGACCAAGUUACCCUAGGGAUAACAGCGCAAUCCUAUUUAAGAGUUCAUAUCGACAAUUAGGGUUUACGACCUCGAUGUUGGAUCAGGACAUCCCAAUGGUGCAGAAGCUAUUAAUGGUUCGUUUGUUCAACGAUUAA
rnacentral:rRNA from 1 species